rnacentral:lncRNA from 1 species
AGCACUCUGGUGCUGGCUCACUCUCCUCCCAGCCCUGGGCUCCUGCUGUGGACUGGCCUCCCUGCUGGGAUGGUGGGAUGAGAAACAGAAAUCUUGUCAGCUGCUCCCUGCUGGGGAUGGGGGCGGGGGGGCACGUUGUCUUUAAUGUGGUGUCCAGCUACUCCCCAACCCACCAGGCACUCUGUCCUGUGUCCUGGAUUUGGCGCUCACCUGAGUAGACUCCCUAGAUUUCUCUGGAAAAUAGGGAUCCUGAGGGUUGUAGGGCUGUCAGUUAAAAUGCUUGGUGGGAGGAAGGUAGGAGAAGUAGGGGGCCCCUCAGUGAAGUGGUCCAGAGUCGGGUGGCCUGUAUGAAAGAAGCGCCACAGGUCUCUCUCCCUUGGAUCUUUGUCUUGCUUCUUCUCUCCCCAAAUUUCUCCACUUUCCAUCUGUCCACCUGCAAACAUUUUUACUUGGCUUGAGUCUGAACUCUACACUUCCAGGGGGAUGCCAACAGAUGGAGUUACAUCUUGAGGAGAGGGAGCUGUCACGGGAGAAGCAGUUGGAGGAAAAUGCAGGACUUUCACCAAGAGUAAGAGCAUGAGAGGGCUGUCCUGAAGGAGGUCUCCACAUGCUUCAGAGCGCAGAGCCCCUUUGCAACAGGUAUCUGCUCUUGUGGCCCGAAGAAUCCUAAUUCACUCCCACGUUGUGCGGUUGGCCUUCGUUGCCUGCCCAUCUGGAAAACUCCUAAGUGUCAGAGUUCAGAGGAGGCUUAGAGACCACAGGCUCAUCCUGCAGUUGGUGAAACCGAGGUCCCAGGAGGGAGGAAGAAUGCCAAGGUCACAUGAACCGUGGACUGCAAAAUCCAGAGGCUCUCGCCAGCAAGGAUCUCAAAGCACAAAUCUCAGAAUCUCGGCGCUGUUAAGGGGCCUUGGAGACAUCUGGUCCAGCUACCUCUCUCCUGAGAUGGAAACACAGAAACAUAGAGCCUCAGAGUAGGAACAGAAAGUUGACUCUACUCCAGUCCAAUCUGACAGAAGAGGAAAUUGAAGCCCAGAGAAGGCACCUCCUCCAUGCCAGGCCUGAUGCCAGCCCCAGGGAUGACAACAACUCAGGCUUACAAUUCACUUCAUGGUUUACAAAGAGCUUCCACCAGAGAAUUCACAACCACCCUGCAAAGUAGGCGUUCAAGCUUGUGUCCAUUUCCCACACAUGGACACUGAGGCCCAGUGAGGUUGGGUGACUUUCCCAGUCACAGCCAGUAUGUGACAGAGCUAAUAUUUAAAUCUAG